CUGAAGCUGGCUCAGAUUCAGCUCCAUCUCCUCAUUCAAGGCUUUCCCCUCUUCCCGGAGCUCAGUUAAAAUGUCCUUUUCUUUGCUGUGCAGGAACUGAUGCAGCUUUAGAAACUCCAUGGACACAUGUUGCUGCAGAUGUAGCUUGUUUUCCUGGAAACCUCCAUGAUUAUCACCAUAGUUAUUACAGAGACUAGUGCUUGGGGAUGGAGACCCACACCACCAACACUCACACACUUGGGAAAUACCAUCACAGAAAAAUGUAUACAAAUGGCUACUGAAUAUCAAAUUCAACCAUACUAAAAUGAGUCCUUUGGGAGACUUAUUCCUUUUCCAACUAAUUGAGUAGUUCAGGAUGAAAUAGGCAAAAGUCACCUCUUUUGCAAAAGUGACUCCUAUUGCAGUACUCAGAUGGUAACCAAUGCCAUAUUAAAUAAGACUGUGGAGUUAAUCAAACAUUCUAGAAUGAAUGAUAAUACCCUCCUAGAUUGGUAAACCAAAAGCUUCCAAGUGGUACUGUUAGACUGGGGGUAUUGGGAGGCUGGAAGAACUGUCCUUAUCCAGAAAUCAGAACUUGGGGAAUGCCACUGUUACACUUGCAUCUUUUUCCUUGAGUGAACUCAUCAUCCUCACAGAUGCCAAAUACCUGAGAAGGCUCUUCUCCAUAGAAUAAUGAAUAAAGAAACAGAACGUCCAAUUCAGCACCCCCAGCCUAGGGGCUGCUUUGCCAGAUCUCUAGCCAUUAAUGUUGUCCUAGAGUGUCUAUGAAGUUGAAAGUGAAGACAAUAGCUUUAUUUAGUUUGGAGGAAGCUAAGAAAGAUCAAAUCAGAUGGAAAAAGCUUACAACCUUGGAGACCUAGUCCAGAGGUGUCUGGUUAUAAACUCAAAGGAAAUAAAGGUAUUUCUUUGGACAUAG